GAGGAAUAUUGGUCAAUGGGCGCAAGCCUGAACCAGCCAUGCCGCGUGCAGGAAGACGGUCCUAUGGAUUGUAAACUGCUUUUAUUCGGGAAUAAACCUCCUUACGUGUAGGGAGCUGAAGGUACCGAAUGAAUAAGCACCGGCUAACUCCGUGCCAGCAGCCGCGGUAAUACGGAGGGUGCAAGCGUUAUCCGGAAUCAUUGGGUUUAAAGGGUCCGCAGGCGGUUUUAUAAGUCAGUGGUGAAAGCCUACAGCUCAACUGUAGAACUGCCAUUGAUACUGUAAGACUUGAAUUCGAUCGAAGUGGGCGGAAUAUGACAUGUAGCGGUGAAAUGCUUAGAUAUGUCAUAGAACACCGAUAGCGAAGGCAGCUCACUAGGUCUGGAUUGACGCUCAGGGACGAAAGCGUGGGGAGCAAAC
rnacentral:rRNA from 1 species